GUAUAUAUAUUUAUGCAUCAGCUAAGGCACUAGACAAUGCUUUCAUUUGCUUUUUAGGUUCAGCACAAAAAAUUUCCUUCUACACAAAUCAACAUAUUAUUAUUGGCUAAAAUCCCCUGUAAGCUUAAAAAAAUGAAAAACUUGAAAAAGUCCAGUUUGAAGACAUAACCGUCAGGGAAUUGAACAACGAUUGCCGGGUAAUUAUUUAAUUUUAAGCAGAAAAUAGCGAUUUGAUGAAGCCAUGAUAGAAAAAUUCUGGAGUCCUAAGCUUUUACAGAGUAGCACCAAGUUGAAGUUCAUCCACAGCUAAGAGACAUGAUCAUUAAAUACGAAGACUACAUAUAGCUUGCCGCGUUCAGCAAUCAGCAUAAUUGGGAAGAAUUUGGGUUAAUUUAUGAAUCUAUCAUAUUAUUGGAGCAAUUGGCUAAAAGUAUCUCCGAGGACCAGAAGAACACAUUCAAAAACCUUGUCUGAAGAGUCUUUGAUUAAUCUUCAUGGCUGUUGGUUUAUAGCCCUUUUUGCAUCAUGCUUCGCUUUUAAUUUGGUUUGUUAGGGGGAUUGAUAGAGUCUGAUCAAAGGAGUUUGGUUGUUUAACAAAAAGCGGCUCUGUUUUCUUUUUGGAAAUUUAUGUGCCUAUGCUCCUCUCUCGGCAUCCAGGAACUUAAGGGGAGUGAGUAUCUUUGUCUGGUUCCC
rnacentral:misc_RNA from 1 species